ACAAGUUUAUAUAACUCAAAAGCCCCAAGCUACCACCCUAUUUUAACUUUCAUCUCUUUCUUUUCCUCACCCUCAACUAACGAGUGACGGCCACUCCACACUCUCUUACCGUUAAUCUCUCUACCGUUCGCCUCCGCGUCAAUCCCUCUCUCUCUCUCGUUCACUCAGGAACUCUCAGCUGUCUCAAUCGGCUCCGGCCUCACGAAGUGUACAUGUUAAACCAAUUCAAAGAGAUGAUUCCGAAGCCAGUGCGAGCACUGGGCAAGGGUGCUGCAGUAAUACUUGGGGGAGUUGUGACUCUUAAUCUGGUUUCCUCUGCCACUAUGGGUGCUCUUCGGGCGGCCAGCGAGGCCAAACGGAAAAGUUUAUCGGAACCUUGUCGUGUUUGUAGAGGCAAAGGCUUCUACAUAUGCAAUUUAUGUAAGGGAAAUUCCACAAUUGAAUGGUCCCCUUUGUAUGACCCAGUUGCCAUCAAUCCGUGCUUAUGCCCUACAUGUGAUGGAAAUAGGUUUAUCGCUAAGGCUCAGGACUGAGGAUCGUGCUCGGGACCGUUUUGUAUUCUUCGCUCGGGAUUCGAGGAAAAGGUAAAGGGAAGCUGGACCAGCCAUGAGUUGGAGAGCUCUGGGGGUGAGGUGUACAUUGAUAGCUGCUUGUCUGUCACGGUCGAUGGAAAGUACAGGGACAUAACCUUAAAAUUUGUAUUUUUCCAUUAGAGUGGGUUUUGGUUGUAUAAAACUUUUGAGAAUUAUAAAUUGUCACUUAUACCCUGUUUUUGGGAUCCUAUGUAUUAAACAUUCGUUUUAAUGAAAAUUAAC